rnacentral:lncRNA from 1 species
AGAUGGAGCCUCACUCUGACACCUAGACCAGAGGGCAGUGAUGCAAUCCCGGCUCACUGCAACCUCCACCUCCCAGGUUCAAGCAAUUCUCCUGCCUCAGCCUCCUUAGUAGCUGGGAUUACAGCUGCAUGGCACCAUGCUCAGCUAAUUUUUGUAUUUUUAUUAGAGAUGGGGUCUCUACAUUGCCAGGCUGGUUUCGAACUCUUGACCUCAGGUGAGCCGCCCACCUCAGCCUCCCAAAGUGCUGGGAUUACAGGCAUGAGCCACUGUGCCCGACCCUGUUUUACUUUUUAUAUUUUAAUUGCAAGUUUGUUUGGAGUUUAUUCUUAUGUUCAGUCUAAGACAUGAAGGUAAUUUUGUCAUUUUCCAAAUGGAUCCCUUGUUGCACAAGAAGUAUUCAUCUACUUUUAACCCAAGUAUUUUAGCUGCCUCUUAUAUUUUCAUAUGUACUUUAGUCUAUUUGGGUUUAUAAUUUUUCUUAUUUUAAAUUUUUUAUAGGUUUAGGGCAUACAAGUGCAGUUUUGUUACAUAAACAUAUUAGAUAUAAUAACGUUUGGGCUUUUAGUGUACCCAUCACCUCAAUAGUGUACAUUGUAUACAGUAGGUAACUUCUCAUCCCUUACUUCCCUCCCACUUGCCCACCUUUCUGAUUCUCCUAUGCCAAUCAUUACACACUCUAUGUCCAUGUGUACACAUUAUUUAGCGCCCACUUAUACGUAAAAAUGUAGUAUUUGACUUUCUGUUUCUCAGUUAUUUCACUUAGCCUCCAGUUCCAUCUGCCCUGCUGCAAAAAGAUAUUUCAUUCUUUUUUUAUGGCUCGGCAUUUUUCCAUGGUAUAUUUGUAGAUUUUUUUAUUCAGUCAUCCAUUGAUGAACACUUAGUUUGGUUUCACAUCUUUGCUACUGUGAAUGGUGCUGUGAUAAGCAUACAAGUGCAGUAUCUUUUUGAUAUAAUUAUUUAUAUUCCUUUGGGUGGAUAUUCAGUAAUAAGAUGACUGGAUCAAAUUUUAGUUUUAUUUUUAGAUCUUUGAGAUAUUGCCAUAUGGUUUUCCAUAGAGGUUGUAAAAAUAUACAUUCCCACCAAGAGUAUAUAAGCAUUCUCUUUUCUCCAAAUUCUCACCAACAUUUGUUAUUCUUUGACUUUUUAAUAAUACUGAUUCUGACUGGUGGAAGAUAGUAUCUUGUUGUGAUUUUAAUUUUUAUUUCCCUGAUGCUUCAUGAGGUUCAGCAUUUUCACAUGCUUCCUGGCCAUUUGUAUGUUUUCUUUUAAACACUAGCUGUUCAUCUUCUUUUCCCAAUUUUUAGCGAGGUUACAUUUUUUUAUUGUUGAAUAGUUUGAGUUCCUUGUGGUUUAUGGAUAUUAGUCCAUUGUUUUCAAAUAUUUUCUCCCAUGGUGUAAACUGUUCACUGCAUUAUUGCGUUUACUGUGCAGAAAUUUUUAGUUUAAUUCUCAUUUGUUUAUUUUGUUUUUGUUGAACUUGCUUUUGAGGUCUUAGUCAUACAUCAUUUGCCUGGGCCAAAGCUUCUGAGUUGUCUUCAAGAUUUUAAUAGGCCAGUUGCAAUGGCUCAACCCUGUAAUCCCAGCACUUUGGGAGGCUGAGGUGGGUGGAUCAAGUGAAGUCAGGAGUUUGAGAGCAGACUGGCCAGCAUGGUGAGACCCCAUCUCUACUAAAAAUACAAAAAUUAGCUGGGCAUGGUGGUGCACGCCCGUCAUCCCAGCUACUCUGGAGACUGAGGCACAAGAAUUGCUUGAACUCAGGAGGUGGAGGUUGGAGUGAGCCAAGAUUGCACCACUGUACUCCAGCCUGGGUGACAGAGAGAACACAAAGAAAAUACACUUUUAAAAUAGUUUUUAGCUUUACAUUUAAGUUCUGUAUUCAUGUGCAUGAUGUGCAGGUUUGUUACAUAUAUAAUCAUGUGCCAUGGUGAUUUGCUGCACCUGUCAACCCAUCACCUAGGUAUUUAGCCUAGCGUGCACUAGCUAUUUUUCCUGAUGCUCUCCUUCCCUCACAUCCAUCCACCAACAGACCCCAAUGUAUUACCCUCCCUUUGUCUAUGUGUUCACAUUGUUCACCUCCCACUUAUAAGUGAGAACAUGCAGACUUUGGCUUUCUGUUCCUUUGUUACUUUGCUGAGGAUAAUGGUGUCCAGCUCCAUCCAUGUCCCUGCAAAGGACAUGACAUAAUUCCUAUUUAUGGUUGCAUAGUAUUCUAUGGUAUAUAUAUACUACAUUUUCUUCAUCCAAUCUAUUAUUGAUGGGCAUUUCUGUUGAUUCCAUCUUUUUGCUAUUGUGAAUAGUGCUACAAUGAACAUGCAAAUGCAUGUAUCUUAAGAAUAGAAUGACUUAUAUUUCUUUGGGUAUAUAUCCAGUAAUGGGAUUGCUAUGUCAAAAGGUAUUUCUGUUUCUAGGUCUUUUAGGAAUUGCCUCACUGUCUUCCACAAUGGUUGGACUAAUUUACAUUCCUACCAACAAUGUAAAAGUAUUCCUAUUUCUCUGCAGCCUUGCCAGCAUCUGUAGUUUCCAGGAGAUGACAUGAUCCUAUAUCUAGAAAACCCCUUCAUCUCAGCCCAAAAUCUUUUGAAGCUGAUAAGCAACUUCAGCAACAUCUCAGGAUAUGAAAUCAAUGUGCAAAAAAGUCACAAGCAUUCCUUUACACCAACAGCAGGCAAGCUGAGAGCCAAAUAAUGAAUGAACUCCCAUAUCACAAUUGCUACAAACAAUAAAAUAUCAAGGAAUACAGCUAACAAGAGAAUUAAAGGUCCUCUUCAAGGAGAACUACCAACGACUAUUCAAGGAAAUCACAGAGGACACAAACAAAUGGAGAAACAUUCCACGCUUGAGGAUAAGAAAAAUGAGUAUUGUGAAAAUAACCAUACUUCUCAAAGUAAUGUAUAGAUUCAAUGCUACUCCCAUUAAACUACCAUUGACAUUCUUCAGAUAAUUGGAAAACAUAUUUUAAAAUCAUAUGGAAGCCAAAAAGAGGCUGUAUAGCUAAGACAGUCCUAAGCAGAAAUAAAAAAGCUGGAGACAUCAUGCUACCCAAGUUCCAACUACACUACAAGGAUAUAGUAACCAAAACAGCAUGGUACUGGUACAAAAACAGACACAUACUCCAAUGGAACAGAAUAAAGAUUUCGGAAAUAAGACUGCACAUCUACAACCAUCUGAUCUUUGACAAACCUGACAAAAACAAGCAACGGGGAAAGGGUUCUCUGUUACUAAAUGGUGCUGGGAGAACUGGCUAGCCAUAUGCAGAAAAUUGAUAUAUUUAAGUUUUAAUCCAUUUUGAGUUAGGUUUUGUAUGUAGUGAGAGAUGUGGGUCUAGGUUCAUUCUUCUGCACUUGGCUAUUCUGUUUUCUUAGCACCAUUUAUUGAAUAGGGUGUCCUUUCCCCAUUGCAUAUAUUUGUCGACUUGAAUAUUAGUAGCUGUAUAUACGUGAUUUUAUUUCUGGGUCCUCAGUUUUGUUCCAUUGAUCCAUAUGUCUAUUUUUUAUAAUGGUGUCAUGCUGUUUCAGUUGCUACAGCCUUGUAGUAUAUGUGUGUGUGUGUGUGUGUACACACACACAUAUAUACACACACAUAUAUGUGUGUAUAUAAAUAUAUGUGUGUAUAUGUCUAUAUAUUAUAUGUAGAUUUUAUAUGUCUGUAUGUAAAUAUAUAUAUAAUAUAUUGGAGACUAGGUGGGGCAAAAUGAUGUAAUAAGCUCAAAAUAUAUAUAAUAUAUAUUAUAUAUUAUACAUAUAUAUGUAUUUUUUGAGAUAAGGUCUAGCUCUGUUACCCAGGUUAGAGUGCACUGGUGCAUUCUCAGCUCACUGCAAACUUUGCCUCCCAGGCUCAAGCCAUCCUCCCACCUCAGCCUCCCAAGUGGCUGGGACCACAGGCAUGCACCACCAUGCCCAGCUCAUUUUUGUAUUUUUUUUUUCUAGAGAUGGGGCCUCACUUUUUGCCCAGGUUGGUCUUGAACUCCUGAGCUCAAGUGAUCUGCCCACCUCAGCCUUCCAAAGUGCUGGGAUUACAGGUGUGAUCCACUGCAUCCAGAAACCUUGUAGCAUAAUUUGAUAUUUGGUAAUAUGCUGCCUCCAGUUUAGUUCUUUUUACUUAGAACUGUGUUAGCCAUUUGACUGUCUUUUUUGUUUUGUUUUGUUUUGUUGUUUGGUGCAUGUGAAUUUUAGAAUUGUUUUCUCUGUACCUGUGAAAGAUGACCUUGGUAUGUUAGUGGAAAUUUCAUUGAAUCUAUCGAUUGUUUUGGCAAUAUGGUCAUUUUAACAAUGUCGAUUCUUUAAAUCCAUUAACAUGAGAUGCUUUUCCAUUUGUUUGUGUCAUCUAUGAAUUCUUUUCCUCUAGGUUUUGUAGUUCUCCUUGCAGAGAUCUUUCAAUCCUUGAAUAACGUACUUACAGGCAUUUUUUGUUGUGGUUAUAGCUAUUAUAAAUGGGACUGACAUUGAUUUAGGGCUCAGCUUGAUUAUUACUGUUGAAUUGUUUCUAGUUUUAUUUCAAUGUUGUCAGCAAAAGUACUUGCUAUGAGUCCUACUUAUAUGAAUUUGUUGAGACUUGUUUUGCAGCCUAUGAUGUGGUCUAUUCUGGAGAAUGCUUUGUUUCCUAAUGGAAAGAACAUACAUUUAGCUACUGUUGGGUGAAUUGUAAAUGUCAAUUAUGCCUAUUUGGUCUAAUGUGUAGUUUUACUCCAAUAUUUAUUUUUUGAUUUCCUGUCAGAAUCAUCUGCUCAUUCCUGAGAGUGGGGACAUUAUAGCCCUCUAAUAUUGUUGUAUUGGAAUCUACCUCUCCCUUUAAAUUUAUUACUGUUUGCUUUAUACCCUUGGGAUCUCAAUGUUGGUUGCAAAGACCCUUAAAAUUGUUAUAGUCUCUUCUGAAUUGACCCCUUAAUUAUUAUAUAGUCACAUUCUUUGUCUCUUUGCACAGCCUUUGAUUUGUGGUCUACUUUAUCUAUAUAACUAUAGGUGUUCCUCCUCCUUUUCAGUUUCCAGUUCCACGGAAUAUAAUUUUCCAGCCUAUCACAUUCAGUCUGUAUGUGUCUUUGUAGGUGAUGUAGGUUUAUUGUAGGCAGCAUAUCACUGGGCCCUAUAUCUUUAUUCAGCCAAUCUAUGCUUUUUUAUUUUAUUUAAUUUAUUUUUUAUUUUUUUGAGACAGGGUCUUGCUCUGUCACACAUGCAGAAGUGCAGUGGCAUAAUGUCCACAUACUGCAGCCUCAAUCUCCUGGGCUCAAGCAGUCAUCCCACCCGAGCAUACUGAGUAGCUGGGACUACAGGCACAACUUCCACACCUGGCUAAUUUUUGUAUUUUUUGUAGUGACAGCAUUACAUCAUUUUGUCCCACCUAGUCUCCAACACCUGGGCUUAAGUAAUCUGCCUUCCUCAGCCUCCCAAAGUGUUGUGAUUACAGGUGUGAGUCACCAUACCCAGCCCACUCUAGGCAUUAUAAUUAAACAAUUGAGUCCAUUUGCUUUAAGUAUUAUAAUAGAUAAGUAAAAACUUCACUACUGCCAUUUUGUCAUGUAUUUUUCUUGUUUUGUAGCUCCUCUCUCUUCCCUUCCUUUUUUUUUGUGGUUAAAUAAAUUGCUCUGAUAUUAUGUCUUAAUUCAUUGCUUUUAAUUUUGGUAAAUCCCUUCUAGGUUUAUGCAUAGUAUUUACAAUGAGGCUUAAGACAACUUAUCACUGAUAACAAGCAAGACGUUAAAAAUACCCCAAAGAUGAAAAACAACCUCUUCAAUUUAACUGCAUUUCUCCUAACUUAAAAGUGUUUUCUCAUAUUUUUAUAUUGCCUAUAUCUUAACAGGUUGCUGUAGCUAUUAUUAUUUGAUUUUGAUAUAUUUGUCUUCUGACCUUUAUAGUUAUGAGUAGAUUUUGAUAUAGUUGUCUUCUGGUCUUUAUAGAGUUGUGAGUGGAUUGUCCACUGGAAUGAUAGUAUUAUUUAGAGUAUUUGGUAUUGGUUUGUGUUAUAAUAAUUUUAACAGUGGGUUUUAUAUCUGCAAAUAUUUUCUUGUUGCAAGUUAGUGUUUUUUUUCUUUCAGAUUGAAGCACUCCCUUUAGCAUUUCUUGUAAGAUGAGCCUGAUAUGGGUGAAUUAUCACAUUCUGGUGGUGCUAAAUUCUCUCUUGUUUUUUUUCUUCUUGAUCUGGGGAAGACUUUUUCUUUCAAAUUUAAAUUACAGUUUUGCUGAAUACAGUAUUCUUUAAUUGCAUUUUUUGUCUUUCAUCACUUUAAAAACAUUCCUUCCUGGCCCAUGGUUUCCAUUGAGAAAUCUGUUGCCAGAUGAACUGAAAUUCCUUUUCUUUUCUGGGACAGAGUUUCACUCUGUUGCCCAGGCUGGAGUGCAGUGGCACAAUCUCACUUCACUGAAAUAUCCACCUCCCAGGCUGAUGUGAUACUCAUGCCUCAGCCUCCUGAGCAGCUAAGAUUACAGGCGUAUGUCAACACACCCAACUAACUUUCAUACUUUUUAGUAGAAAUGGGGUUUCACUAUGUUGGCCAGGCUGGUCUUGAACUCCUGGCCUCUAGUGAGCCACCUGCCUUGACCUCCCAAAGUGCUGGGAUUACAGGCAUGAGCCACUGUGCCCAACCAAAAUUCCCUUUUAUGUUAUUUGCUUCUGUUGUCUUACUUCUUGAGGGAUUCGCUGUCCUUGACCUUUGAGAAUUUGAUUAUUAUUUGCAUGGGGAUAGUCUUAUUUUGAUUGAAUUGGUUUGGUGAUCUCUGACCUUCCUGUACCUGAAUAUUUAUCUUUGUCACAUUUUGAAAACUUUUCUGUUAUUAUCUGAAUAAGUUUUCUACCUCUACCUCCUUCUCAAUUCCCUGUUGAACCAUAAUAAUUCUUAGAAUUCAUUUUGAGCUAAUUUUCUGUCUUUUAAGGGAUCUUCAUUUCUUUUCAUUUUUUCUUCUUUGUGUAUUUUCAGGUAGCCUGUUUUUAAGCUCACUGAUUCUUUGCUCAGCUUGCUUUAUGCUGUUAAUAUCCUCUAGUAAGUUUUUCAGUACAACAAAUGUAUUUCUUAGUUUCAAGAUUUCUGUUUGACUUUUAAAUUAUUUCCAUCUUUUUAUUAACUUUCUCUAAUUGUUGUUAUUUUUCUGUGUUAUCUUGGACUACAUUCCCUUAAAACUGUUAUUUUGAAUUAAUUUUUUUUCUCUUUCUUUCUCCCAUCAACUUUAUAGUCAUAAAAGAUAAUAUUUUGAAUUCUUGGUCAAAGAGUUCACAUAUCCUGUCCCAUUAGGUGUAGUCGUUGCUUUCUUGCUUUGUAUGGGAAGGUCAUGGUUCCUUUUUGCUGUCAUUUCUUAUUGAUAUACAUCUAUGUUAUUGCCGGGAAGGAGUAGUUAUUUAAUCCAAUCUUAGAUAUGUUUGCUUAGAGAUUCUUUGUAAUUUACCUGUUGGUCAUCUUUCUUUUCCCCCUCAAUGUUAACUGAUUCCUUUUUGGCCAGAUGGUACAUUAAGUCCUGUCAUGCCAUGUUUCUAGUAAACAAUCAGACUGUCACCCAUAACAAAUUAGGAGACGCCUAAAAGGAUAUUUCAUUAGUGUCAGAAGGCUGGCUCAGUGUUUGUGCCCAGGGGACCUGGGCAACAAAUAUCUUAUAGCGUGAUCCUUCUGACAGCAGAGUUACAGCAGGCCUGUGGAUGGUAGUCCCACCUUCUCCCCUUUUCUCUGGCUUUCCUCAAGGAAUGUCUCCCUUCAUACACUUCUGAUGCUUUCUAUGGGUUGAGGUAGGAAGAGGUCUCCUGCCAGAGAACCCAAGAUGGUUAUCCACUUCAAUCUCAAUUUUUGCAGUAAAGACUGCAAAAUAUGAGUCAUGAAGAAAUUUUCUGUAUGCUUAAGUGGUGCCAGGCAGAUUUGGGGAGGCGCCUUAUACAUAUGGAAGGCCAAUUCUUUUACCAUCUGCUUGAAAUUUUUUUACUUGUCUGUGGUCUGGCAAACUGUUUCAUCUUUAUAUUUGAGUUCUAAGAUAAUGCUGGUGAUAAUCUGGCUGGUAUAUAUUUCUUCUUGGUUUUCUUUGGGGGAUGGGGAGUAAAGUCAGCUUGCUGCUACCAGUAUAUGAAUUUUGAUCAAGCUUGUCCAACCCAUGGCCCACAGGCUGCAUGUGGCUCUGAAUGGCCCAACACAAAUCUGUAACCUUUCUUAAAACAUUAUGAGAUUUAUGCACAGAACUUUUUAAAAUUAUUUUAUUUUUAGUUAAUCAGCUAUCAUUAGCGUUCAUGUGUUUUAUGUGUGUCCCAAGACAAUUGUUCUUUCAGUGUGGUCCAAGGCAGCUAAAAGAUUGGACACACCUAAUGAUGGUUGGUCUGUAUUGUGGCCAAUGGAGAUGCUGCACCAAAGAGAUUGACCAACAGCAUCACACUUGAGGAAACAUGAUCCACAGGUCUUACAGGGUUGACUUCUUACCCAGCUACCCACGUAAUCAAUAAGCUCUGAUUGUCGACUGAUUCUAAUCAGGUGCUAAGCCAGCAUCAGAGGUCAUAGAAUUGUAACUUGGUUUGCAUUAAGCAUGGUUGUCAUGGACUUGAGGUUCACUUAGUGCUGUGAUGGCAGCAGUCAUCAAGUGUGGGGGUCUGUUCUGCAGACCCUGACCUAAUGAUGUAUGAGUAAAGUACACUGACACAUAGUUAUCCUGCUUUGCCUGUUCAGCUGAGCAUCUGGACCACUUAGUUGCAGUGUGGCCUCGAUCAAUCAAUGAGACUUGCAUUUAUUCAGUAAAGAUUAAUUGACAAAGUUCAUGAGUAAACACCACUAGAGGAUAAUUGACCUAGUCACCCCUACCCCAGAGAGAGCAAUCAUGCACCCAUGAAUGAUCAAAGGUUAGUCUUAAGACGACAUGAGUAAACAAGCUAGUUAGAUAAACUCCCCACAUUCCUUUGUACUCACUUUAAGCUAUUUACUUAAGGUAAGGAUCAGGUUCGCUUCAGCCAUAACAGUUACUAAAGCUCUGCAAACUUUUCAGCCUUCCACGAAGGUUUAGGGCUAUUACUAUCUUUAAUAUUUUUCCCACCAACCUGAUUGAACCCCUACAGUCAAGAACUUAGGGACACAACAGAUAGUGUGUUCAGAAUAUAUGGACAGGCCUGCUAGGAAAAAGAUGGUCACAGACAAAACUAUAGUUUUAAGACUGGAAUAAAUACCCACUUCCUCAACAAACAGACAUUGAUGCACAACCACAUGAAUCAAAAAUAAUCAGAGAAGCAGGAUGUGGUGGUUCAUGCCUAUAAUCCGAGCACUUUGGGAGGCUGAGGUGGGCAGAUCAUUUGAGGUCAGGAGUUCGAGACCAGCCUGACCAACAUGGUGAAACCCUGUCUCUACUAAAAAUACAAAAAAAUUAGCCAGGUGUGGUGGCAUAUAUCUGCAGUCCCAGCUGCUUGGGAGGCUGAGGCAGGAAAAUCACUUGAACCCAGGAGGCGGAGGUUGCAGUGAGCUGAGAUUGCACCACUGCGCUCCAGCCUGGGCCAUAUAGUGAGACUCUGUCUAAAAAAAAUAAAAUAACAGAGACAUGACAUGCACCAAAUGGACAAAAUAAAAUGCAGUUGCUAAAUAUAUAUGAUUAGCCUAACAAAGAAUUCAGACCAGGAAGAACUGUGUUGCUUUUUUCUAUUUGUUUUUUUGAGAUGAAUUCUCACUCUGUCGCCCAGGCUGGAAUGCAGUGGCAUGAUCUCAGCGAAGACACAUGUUUUAAGGCAG